rnacentral:misc_RNA from 1 species
UACGGAUGGGGCAAGCGUUGUUCGGAAUCACUGGGCUUAAAGCGUGCGUAGGCGGAUUUGCAAGUCAGAAGUGAAAUCCCAGGGCUCAACCUUGGAAUUGCUUUUGAAACUGCAAGUCUAGAAUCCGGGAGAGGUCAGGAGAAUUCCUAGUGUAGAGGUGAAAUUCGCAGAUAUUAGGAGGAAUACCAGUGGCGUAGGCGCCUGACUGGACCGGUAUCGACGCUGAGGUACGAAAGCGUGGGGAGCGAACAGG